rnacentral:rRNA from 1 species
UACGAAGGGGGCUAGCGUUGCUCGGAAUUACUGGGCGUAAAGGGCGCGUAGGCGGGUCGUUAAGUUGGGGGUGAAAGCCCAGGGCUCAACCCUGGAAUUGCCUUCAAUACUGGCGACCUUGAGUAUGGCAGAGGUGUGUGGAACUCCGAGUGUAGAGGUGAAAUUCGUAGAUAUUCGGAAGAACACCAGUGGCGAAGGCGACUCACUGGCCCGUUACUGACGCUGAGGCGCGAAAGCGUGGGGAGCAAACAGG